UGGGGAAUAUUGGACAAUGGGCGAAAGCCUGAUCCAGCCAUGCCGCGUGUGUGAAGAAGGUCUUCGGAUUGUAAAGCACUUUAAGUUGGGAGGAAGGGCAGUAAGUUAAUACCUUGCUGUUUUGACGUUACCAACAGAAUAAGCACCGGCUAACUUCGUGCCAGCAGCCGCGGUAAUACGAAGGGUGCAAGCGUUAAUCGGAAUUACUGGGCGUAAAGCGCGCGUAGGUGGUUCAGCAAGUUGGAUGUGAAAUCCCCGGGCUCAACCUGGGAACUGCAUCCAAAACUACUGAGCUAGAGUACGGUAGAGGGUGGUGGAAUUUCCUGUGUAGCGGUGAAAUGCGUAGAGAUGUGGAGGAAUACCGAAGGCGAAGGCAGCCCCUUGGGAAUGUACUGACGCUCAUGUGCGAAAGCGUGGGGAGCAAACAGGAUUAGAUACCCUGGUAGUCCACGCUGUAAACGCUGUCGAUUUGGGGAUUGGGCCUUGAGCUUGGUGCCCGAAGCUAACGUGAUAAAUCGACCGCCUGGGGAGUACGGCCGCAAGGUUUA
rnacentral:rRNA from 1 species